GGUUAAGUUAGUAAGGGCGCACGGUGGAUGCCUUGGCACUAGGAGCCGAAGAAGGACGUGACAAACGACGAAAUGCCUUGGGGAGCUGUAAGUAAGCGUAGAUCCAGGGAUGUCCGAAUGGGGGAACCCAAUAGGUAGAUACCUAUUACCCGUAUCUGUUAAGGAUAUGAGGAGGAAGACGCAGUGAACUGAAACAUCUAAGUAGCUGCAGGAAGAGAAAGCAAAAGCGAUUGCCUGAGUAGCGGCGAGCGAAAGGGCAAGAGGGCAAACCGAGAAGUUUACUUCUCGGGGUUGUAGGACUGCGAUGUGGAUUUAAAGAUUAUAGAAGAAGACCUUGGGAAAGGUUGCCAGAGAGAGUAAGAGCCUCGUAUUUUAAAUAAUCUUUAUACCUAGCAGGAUCCUGAGUACGGCGGGACACGAGGAAUCCCGUCGGAAUCUGGGAGGACCAUCUCCCAACCCUAAAUACUCCCUAGUGACCGAUAGUGAACCAGUACCGUGAGGGAAAGGUGAAAAGCACCCCGGGAGGGGAGUGAAAGAGAACCUGAAACCGUGUGCCUACAACAAGUUCGAGCCCGUUAAUGGGUGAGAGCGUGCCUUUUGUAGAAUGAACCGGCGAGUUACGUUAUGAUGCGAGGUUAAGUUGAAGAGACGGAGCCGUAGGGAAACCGAGUCUGAAGAGGGCGGUAUAGUAUCAUGAUGUAGACCCGAAACCAUGUGACCUACCCAUGAGCAGGUUGAAGGUGAGGUAAAACUCACUGGAGGACCGCACCAGGGCACGUUGAAAAGUGCUUGGAUGACUUGUGGGUAGCGGAGAAAUUCCAAACGAACUUGGAGAUAGCUGGUUCUCUCCGAAAUAGCUUUAGGGCUAGCGUCGACAGAAAGAUUCUUGGAGGUAGAGCACUGUUUGGGUGAGGGGUCCAUCCCGGAUUACCAAUCUCAGAUAAACUCCGAAUGCCAAUGAAUUAUGGUCGGCAGUCAGACUGCGAGUGCUAAGAUCCGUAGUCGAAAGGGAAACAGCCCAGACCACCAGCUAAGGUCCCAAAAUAAUUGUUAAGUGGAAAAGGAUGUGGGGUUGCACAGACAACUAGGAUGUUAGCUUAGAAGCAGCUAUUCAUUCAAAGAGUGCGUAAUAGCUCACUAGUCGAGUGACCCUGCGCCGAAAAUGUACCGGGGCUAAAACAAUUUACCGAAGCUGUGGAUCCUUUAGGGGAUGGUAGGAGAGCGUUCUAUGUGUGGUGAAGGUGUACCGUGAGGAGCGCUGGAACGCAUAGAAGUGAGAAUGCCGGUAUGAGUAGCGCAAGACAGGUGAGAAUCCUGUCCACCGUAAGACUAAGGUUUCCAGGGGAAGGCUCGUCCGCCCUGGGUUAGUCGGGACCUAAGGAGAGACCGAAAGGUGUAUCCGAUGGCCAACAGGUAGAGAUUCCUGUACUAGAGUAUAGAGUGAAGGAGGGACGCAGUAGGCUAACUCAAGCGUGCGAAUGGAAGAGCACGUCUAAGCAGUGAGGUGUGAUAGGAGUCAAAUGCUUCUAUCUGUAACAUUGAGCUGUGAUGGGGAGCGAAGUUUAGUAGCGAAGUUAGUGACGUCACACUGCCAAGAAAAGCUUCUAGCGUUUAAACAUACUCUACCCGUACCGCAAACCGACACAGGUAGUCGAGGCGAGUAGCCUCAGGUGAUCGAGAGAACUCUCGUUAAGGAACUCGGCAAAAUGACCCCGUAACUUCGGGAGAAGGGGUGCUGGCUUAAAGUCAGCCGCAGUGAAUAGGCCCAAGCAACUGUUUAUCAAAAACACAGCUCUCUGCUAAAUCGUAAGAUGAUGUAUAGGGGGUGACGCCUGCCCGGUGCUGGAAGGUUAAGAGGAGUGCUUAGACGUAAGUCGAAGGUAUGAAUUGAAGCCCCAGUAAACGGCGGCCGUAACUAUAACGGUCCUAAGGUAGCGAAAUUCCUUGUCGGGUAAGUUCCGACCCGCACGAAAGGCGUAAUGAUUUGGGCACUGUCUCAACGAGAGACUCGGUGAAAUUUUAGUACCUGUGAAGAUGCAGGUUACCCGCGACAGGACGGAAAGACCCCAUGGAGCUUUAC
rnacentral:rRNA from 1 species